rfam:Asian citrus Psyllid, Diaphorina citri - Florida Strain, whole genome shotgun sequence.
GUCAGCGGCGAUAGCACGUUGAAGGCACCAGUUAACAAUAGAUCACUAAAGUUAAGCAACUUUGGGAGUUGUUAGCAUCUGGAAGGGUGACCAUCUGGGCAAUCGCGUGCCGCUGGUU